GACAGAGGAUGCAAGCGUUAUCCGGAAUGAUUGGGCGUAAAGCGUCUGUAGGUGGCUUUUUAAGUCUGCCGUCAAAUCCCAGGGCUUAACCCUGGACAGGCGGUGGAAACUACCAAGCUGGAGUACGGUAGGGGCAGAGGGAAUUCCUGGUGUAGCGGUGAAAUGCGUAGAGAUCAGGAAGAACACCAGUGGCGAAGGCGCUCUGCUAGGCCGUAACUGACACUGAGGGACGAAAGCUAGGGGAGCGAAUGGG
rnacentral:rRNA from 1 species